UACGGGGGGGGGCAAGCGUUGUUCGGAAUCACUGGGCGUAAAGGGCGCGUAGGCGGCGUUUUAAGUCGGGGGUGAAAGCCUGUGGCUCAACCACAGAAUGGCCUUCGAUACUGGGACGCUUGAGUAUGGUAGAGGUUGGUGGAACUGCGAGUGUAGAGGUGAAAUUCGUAGAUAUUCGCAAGAACACCGGUGGCGAAGGCGGCCAACUGGACCAUUACUGACGCUGAGGCGCGAAAGCGUGGGGAGCAAACAGG
rnacentral:rRNA from 1 species